rnacentral:rRNA from 1 species
ACAAUGGAGAGUUUGAUCCUGGCUCAGGAUGAACGCUAGCUACAGGCUUAACACAUGCAAGUCGAGGGGAAACGGCAUUGAGUGCUUGCACUCUUUGGACGUCGACCGGCGCACGGGUGAGUAACGCGUAUCCAACCUUCCCAUUACUGUGGGAUAACCUGCCGAAAGGCAGACUAAUACCGCAUAG